rnacentral:rRNA from 1 species
GACGAACCGUGCGAACGUUAUUCGGAAUCACUGGGCUUAAAGCGCGUGUAGGCGGAUGGCCGCGUCGGUCGCUCAAAGCCCCCGGCUCAACCGGGGGUGUGGCGCCGAAACGGGUCGUCUGGAGGGGCGUAGGGGGAGCUGGAACUCACGGUGGAGCGGUGAUAUGCGUUGAGAUCGUGAGGAACGCCCGCGGCGAAAGCGAGCUCCUGGACGCCUACUGACGCUGAGACGCGAAAGCCAGGGGAGCGAACGGG